rnacentral:lncRNA from 10 species
CUCUGCGAGAAACACCCAAGAAUGAUCAAUUAAAACAAAAAACAAAAAACAAAAAAAAAAACAAAGUUACUGCAGAGUAGAGCUAAAAGACAACCUCACAACGGUUAGAUACACAGGCCCAUCUUCAUCACAUUUGCAUGUGCCAUUCUAGAUAUUUUCUUAGAAUACCACAAACUAAACCUGUGGUUACGAUCCAAGCAGAUUGAAAACUGCCUUGGCUGAGGCCAGAAAGAAUGGUUAAAGCUUGAAGACUGAUUUUUUUUACUUGAAACUGCUCUCCAGCACUUUCCCCAGCUACCCCAUCCAUUGCUAAUUAGAGGCAGCCAAGGCUUGACAUGUACACAGUUCUCUGUGGUAAAAUUGAUUAUUAUAUUACUAUGGAAAAUAAGGAAGUCAUUUCAUUCGAAAUAUCAAAUUCCACAAAAAUCAUACAUGGCAGCUGUUAGCAUAUGCAUGUGGGGGAAGGGCAAGUGUGUGAACAUAUUAACCCUCUCCCCUUCAGUUUUCUGACAUCUCAGAAUUGCAAGAAAGAAAAGAUUCCAAUGUAUAUAAGGCAGAAACCAAUGGCAAAGCUGCAUAAAAGCUAUUUUUGAGGUUAAAAAAAAAAUCUCCGUGAUAUAAGACACCCCGUCCAUGCCGUUUUAUGAGUAUGGAUUUGCUUUUACACACUUGCAAGCAGAAAACUAGUAUUCCUCUACCACAUGUGUUGAAGCUACUUGUAAUUGCAUCAGAUAGAGAAAUGAGGUGAGUCAUGUUUGGUUGUGCUUGAGUCUGCUAACAGACCAUCAUGUCCAUGUCCAAAUUUGUACCCUGAACCGCACAACAGAAGUUUAUGCACUUGCUUGCUUGCUUGGCGACAAUGAAAAUAGUUUUGUUUAAACACUUAACUUUACUUAAAGAUACCUAAGAGGUGCUGAAAUUCAUAUUCCAGCUACUUCAGGGGUGCUCAGAAGCUAUUCUCAAGCCUUGUUUCUUGGCGAAAUAUCCCCUGCUCAUGAAUUUUAACACGGCACUCCCCUCCUGGUCCAGAAUGAGUCAACACUCAACACAUACGAGAUGUUUCAAACACCUUUAAGUUCAUUUUCCAUCACUGCCAAAUUCCAGCAAUUAACACAAAGCACCUCACCCUUAAGAGAUGCCCAUCAUUUAUAAAGUUUUGGGAUUCUGAAUGCAUCCCCUUCCAUUCUCCCAGAUCUGGUGAUAACUCAAUCUGUUUUCCAGUAGCCUUGCGACUUUUCUUUAAAGAAGAGUUUAGUAACCAGCGUAAAAAGAGCAUCUAGACUUCCUGACAUUAGGAUCGCUGAUUUCACUGGGGUCAUGAGGAGCUGUUUUAGGUCACAUGUUAAACUGCCGUUGUGAAUCAUUUGUUAAUUUUUUUUUAAAACGGAGGGGGUGGGGACACAGACAAAUCGCAUACUCAUGCACAAAUGCUCAGCGCCGAGAACAUGUUUAGAGGUGCUGCCUGAACUGGAGAAUUAAAAAAGAAACAAAUAAACCUCGAUUUCUCCCUUGUGCUGGGGAAAGGAGAUGAACGGAGAUGACCCAUCAUUUCACCUACCCAGUGGUAACUGCAAUACCUUUCAGGAGGAAAAGUGCUUCUUGACUGGGAAGGAGUGGAAGAGGUCCUAGGUGCAGAAGGGUAUGGAAGAUAAGGUCAAAGGAUGUGCUGGUGGGAAUGGGAGACAACUGAGAAGGUGAGACAAGCUGGAGGAAAUGUCAGGAGCUGCUGAGAGAAGCUCAGCCUGACCAGAGAUGAGAAUUGCCAUCUUGAAUCGUCAGGAAGUGAAGGAAAGCCCAGGUGAAUGCCACCCAAUCAAAAAGAAAAAACAAAUGCAGAUGGUAAGGUAGAGAAGGCUCUGAAGCCCAGGUAAUGAGAGCCAUGUUACCCUGGACAGAAGCAUCCAACACCACACAUCUCCAAGGAUGUUGGAGAUCCAGCAUCUGGAUCCAGCUAACUUCUGCAUCCUCUUCUGUACUCACAAGAGUUAACAUGGACGUCCAUGCAUCUGCUGGACAACACCCCCUAGAACGAGUGUCUUUGUAUGUUUUCACACACAUAAUGAUGUUAUAUCUGCUGCCAUCCUACUGAGUAAGGG